rnacentral:lncRNA from 1 species
GGGUUGAGGGGGGAGGAGGAUGUGGCAUCAAAUCUAAUUUGGGCAGAGUGAAGUCAUAUAUCAGGAUCAAGCCAAGGAUACCAGUGAAUUUCUGGUUUCAGUUCAUUGGCACGUUUGUUAAUUACUAGUUGUUGCACAGCACAGAACCACAUCACUGGGCAGCUCAGAGCCUCGCACACGGUACUCACAGCCAGUCCAGAGCAGGGAUCCUGGUGCAGAGGAUGCCAACAUCAAGGUCUGCACUGGGACGCAGCUGAGAGGAGAUCCCCUUCCAAGCCGGAGUGUGCUGUCAGGGUUAUUUCCAUGCUCAGGGCACGACGGUCUCACUAGUGAGGGAUUCAAACAAUGAAAGAUAUAAUACAAUGCCUACAGAAACUCUUUGAAAAGAUACAUGAGAGAGAAGAGUUCUUCCCAACUUAUUGUGUGAGGC